UACGAAGGGUGCAAGCGUUACUCGGAAUUACUGGGCGUAAAGCGUGCGUAGGUGGUUUGUUAAGUCUGAUGUGAAAGCCCUGGGCUCAACCUGGGAUUUGCAUUGGAUACUGGCAGGCUAGAGUGCGGUAGAGGAUGGCGGAAUUCCCGGUGUAGCAGUGAAAUGCGUAGAGAUCGGGAGGAACAUCUGUGGCGAAGGCGGCCAUCUGGACCAGCACUGACACUGAGGCACGAAAGCGUGGGGAGCAAACAGG
rnacentral:rRNA from 1 species